CUUCACUGCACCUUGGGAUUGAACCUGGUCUUUAGUUGCGCAGCAUAGGUGGGAGGCUAUGAAGGAGACCUUGCGGGGUUUUCUGAGCCAAUCAUGUGAUACCACUCUUCUAAAGCUCGGGUUCUCACUCUUCUCCGUAAGCCGGGAAGAGGACACUCCCAGGCGGGCAGUUUGACUGGGGCGGUCGCCUCCUAAAAGGUAACGGAGGCGCACAAAGGUUUCCUCAGAUCGUAUAGAAAUCGAUCGUAGAGUGUAAAGGCAAAAGGAAGCUUGACUGCAAGACCUACAAGUCGAGCAGAGACGAAAGUCGGUCUUAGUGAUCCGACGAUGCUGGGCGGAAAGGUCGUCGCUCAACGGAUAAAAGUUA
rnacentral:rRNA from 1 species